rnacentral:rRNA from 1 species
GAUGAACGCUGGCGGCGUGCCUAAUACAUGCAAGUCGAGCGAACAGAUGAGGAGCUUGCUCCUCUGACGUUAGCGGCGGACGGGUGAGUAACACGUGGAUAACCUACCCAUAAGACUGGGAUAACUUCGGGAAACCGGAGCUAAUACCGGAUAAUAUAUUGAACCGCAUGGUUCAAUAGUGAAAGACGGUUUUGCUGUCACUUAUAGAUGGAUCCGCGCCGCAUUAGCUAGUUGGUAAGGUAACGGCUUACCAAGGCAACGAUUCGUAGCCGACCUGAGAGGGUGAGAGGGCAAAAUGGGAAGGAGAAAAGGGCACAAAUCCUAAGGGGGGCCGCAGUAGGGAAAUUUCAGCAAAGGGGGGAAGGCCGAAGGAGAAAAGCCGGGGGAGGGAAGAAGGGUUUUGGAUUGGAAAAACCUGGUUUUAGGGAAAAAAAAAAUGUGAAAGAAACGUUGCAGGUUUGAAGGGAACAAAAAAGAAAGCCAAGGCUAAAUAAGGG